AAAUCAUUUUGGAAAGGAAAAUUAAUGGAUGGUAGAAGUAAAACUGAAAUUGAAAAACACCGAGGUUAAACAUGAUCACAUGGCUUCACCAACCUCACAGCACACACGCCAUAAGAUGAAAUUUAAUGACUACUCUGUUGCUCAAAGGGAGAUGGAGGGUAGAAGGUAAUGGAAUAAAUCUGUUCUCAAAAUCUGAAAUUGUUUGUUCAUUAUACAACUGUUUUACUUACCAGUAAAAUCCAACUGUUAUAGUUUGAUAUUACAGAUAUGAUAUUCCAAGAAUUAGUUGAAACAGUUUAUAAUCUAAUCAAAUUAGUAAGAAAAACAUAUGUUCCCAUGCAUGUAGAAACUCAGUGGAGAUGAAACUACAUUUGGAAAUGAGGUAGAGCACCAAUGAAGUGAUUAGAGUGCAUGUGUUGUGUGGUCUAAUAUAGGAUGUACAUUAGUUGAAGGAAGGAUAAUGUGACUUAUUGC
rnacentral:sRNA from 1 species